rnacentral:lncRNA from 1 species
AUAUAUAUAUAUACAGAAGAAAGUUCUAUGGAGACUGGAUUAUUUGGAGACUGUAGAGACUUAAUCAUGGUCAUCCAAUCAUUAAACAUCCAACGGCUGCAUAUAUUUUGUCCUGCACGUUUGUUUUCUCUCCCUAUCAUGUCCUGCACUUCUAAAUCGAUGAACAACAAGCAGUACUUCUAAAUCUUGCAUAACAUAAAAUAAUAAUUCCAUAAUAUUGGUGUUCAAUCACCGAAAUCCUAACAAAUAAAAAUAAUAAUUGCAUACAAAACAAAGAUGUGGUUGGACACUGCUAUGAUUGGCACUGAACUCAUUGUCAUUGUCCUGCAACGAAUUGAAUUUGUUGCAAGACAAAAUAACACUUAGAUAUAUCACAAAUAUGCGGGACAAAUUAUUAAUAUUACAUUACUAGAAAUGCAGGACAAGAAUAGUGUAAAUUACAAACAUAGUUUUGAAUUAAAAUUAAAAACAAGAAAUGCAGGACAAGAAUAUUAAUAAUACAUUACUAGAAAUGCAGGACAAGAAUAGUGUAAAUUAUUAAUAUUACAAAACUAGAAAUGCAGGACAAGAAAUGCAGGACAAAGAAUAUUUAAUCAUGUCCAUUAAUUACCAUAUUAUUUAACGGUAGAUCCUGUAGUCUCUAAUGACUCCAAAAUUUUUGGUCUCCAUUGAG